UUUUUGCGUGAAGCGUGAAGGGCUUAUUUUAACUGUGGUAAAAUAAGCCCUUCACGCUUCACGCAAAAA